rnacentral:misc_RNA from 1 species
GAUGAAGAACGUAGCGAAAUGCGAUAAGUAAUGUGAAUUGCAGAAUUCAGUGAAUCAUCGAAUCUUUGAACGCACAUUGCGCCCGCCAGUAUUCUGGCGGACAUGCCUGUUCGAGCGUCAUUUCAACCAUCAAGCCCCCGGCUUGUGUUGGGGACCUGCGGCUGCCGCAGGCCCUGAAAACCAGUGGCGGGCUCGCUAGUCACUCCGAGCGUAGUAAUACAUCUCGCUCAGGGCGUGCUGCGGGUUCCGGCCGUUAAAAAGCCUUAUUUACCCAAGGUUGACCUCGGAUCAGGUAGGAAGACCCGCUGAACUUAAGCAUAUCAAUAAGGGAGGA